GUCUAUGGCCACACCACCCUGAACGUGCCCAAUCUCGUCUGAUCUCGGAAGCUAAGCAGUGUCAGGCCUGGUUAGUGCUUGGAGGGGAGACAGAUCUUCAGAAAAGACUGGUCAGAGACA
rnacentral:rRNA from 1 species